rnacentral:rRNA from 1 species
AACCAGCACCUCAAGUGGUCAGGAUGAUUAUUGGGCCUAAAGCAUCCGUAGCCGGCUCUGUAAGUUUUCGGUUAAAUCUGUACGCUCAACGUACAGGCUGCCGGGAAUACUGCAGAGCUAGGGAGUGGGAGAGGUAGACGGUACUCGGUAGGAAGGGGUAAAAUCCUUUGAUCUAUUGAUGACCACCUGUGGCGAAGGCGGUCUACCAGAACACGUCCGACGGUGAGGGAUGAAAGCUGGGGGAGCAAACCGGAUUAGAUACCCGGGUAGUCCCAGCUGUAAACUAUGCAAACUCAGUGAUGCAUUGGCUUGUGGCCAAUGCAGUGCUGCAGGGAAGCCGUUAAGUUUGCCGCCUGGGAAGUACGUACGCAAGUAUGAAACUUAW